GUUUAAGGAGUGAGGAUGUGGGUGUACUGAGCCACCACUCUGGGCUCCCAAACCCUUGGGACACUUGAACCCUGGGAAAUGGGUGAGGCAGCAGCAAAGAGCUGAAAGUAGAUCUAACUGAAGACCAUCUCUACCAGGUGACACUUCCAAGAGGAAGCAAACAUUUAGGAGAAUACUUGGGGACAUUGAUUGCUCACAGUGACUUCUGACUACUGUGUACCAGAGUAAGACUGCAGAUCACAGAUUUAGGGGAAAGGAAAGGUCUUUUGGUGGAUAAGGUGAGUUGAAAUCCUAGCUUGGCCACCAACUCUGUGGCCCUCAUCAAGUCACUUUCUGAACCUUACCUCUGUCAUCUAUAAAAUAUUCAUUAUUCACCUGAUUUAUCUCACAAGAUUGUCAUAAAAAUAAUAGCAUUACAAGUGAGGGAGCAAACCUCAGUACCUAGCACACAGUAAGGACUAAUUUCUCAGUAAACAUCUUAGAUUAUCUACAAGGCAGACUUAAAAUUUGACUUAUAGUGUUCAAACUUUACUGUUUGAGAUGUUUAUAGGGAUACAUUAUUUUCUUGGUCCUUAUUCCCUUGGCGUGAUCUUUUCACAGAAUUCUGUUGGGAUAAAGGAAAUAAAGGAAGAGGAAUAAAGGAAAAAGAGAGAGGCAGAGAGAGAGAGAGAGAGAGAGACAGGCUCUGAACCUGUAAACUCCAAACUCUGGAAAGCCUGAAAGGGGUCAGUGGAACAGUUUUGGGAGUGUUCCGCCUGUGUUUUCAACCAUGUAGAGUACUACAAAUGUUUUCUGGAUCAUGGGUCUUUUGGAAUGCAUUUGUAGGCAACUUUUUGGUAUAAACAGAGCUAUUCUGAGAGUGUGCCAAAUCAUGAACUCUUCCCAGGGUCCCAAGAGAAACAGGAAAAUAGAUCUAAUGAAUUAAGUUUAAGUCUCUAAUAGGAAACGUUUUGGAGACAUCCUUACAGGAAGAGGAAAAACAAGAUUCCUGAAACCAGUAGACAGGUUUUUCAAUUUGAAAAU
rnacentral:lncRNA from 12 species